GGAUCCCUAACAGAUGGGCAGGGGUGAUGGAAAAAGUCGUUUUUAAUUAGUCUGUCUGAAAUCGACGCUUCCUAACCCACACACCUCUCUACAUUUAGGUUUCACUGGUCACCAGACAGGCGCUUUGCUGGCUCCCAGCAUCAACCAUCUGGUGGACAGCAGAACCCGGGCUACAGGGUGGCUCCCCACUCCAGUGAGCCGACACAUAGCCCAAGGACACAGGCAGAUUGGAGAGAGGCGGCGUGCUAAACACACACUGGUGGAGCUACUGGGGGAGAGCAGCGCAGGGAUUGGCCGAGAGCACCGUCACUCAAGCAUCAAACGCUCUCCGACUUCCUCUGUCCUCCUUUCCUGGCGCAGCCUGGGAGGAGGGAGUGGGAUGGAUCGUUUGUGUGUGAGCCUCCGUAGCUGCUCCUUGCCACCUGUCCUUGACUUACUGUGCACAGACGGGGCUGAAAGGAAGUGCUGCCCACGCCUCUGUGGCAUCUUUCUCUCCAUGUUUGUGUGAGUGGCUGUGGUUUUUAAAUCUGUCACUGUGUGUGCAUGUGCGUGCGUGUGUGUGUGCGUGCGUGCGUGUGUGCCGGUCUUCCUUCUACUUGUGGUGUUUCACUGGAGUGGCGAAGGGAGGAACGCUCGUCCUCGGCCGGCGGAGCUCUGAUGGGAGGCAGCGCCGGCUCUGGUUGGGACUGGGGAUGCUGAACGGGGGGAGGGAGGGCCUGUUUGAGCUGGGACAGCAGCUCCAGCAGCAGGGGGAGUACCAGGCCGCCCUCCACUGCUUCCUCAGCUGCCUGUUGGGACUGACCCAUGUGCAGAGUUUCACCUCUCUGCCCAACUGCCUGCACCAGAUUGCAGAACUCUUCAUCACUGAGAAGAAUUGUAUCCUUCUUCUAAAAAAAAACAAAAGCUUCCUAUCUCACAUCAGUUUAAUUUUCGCUGUCCCACAAGCAGCAAACUAUAACAGCAGCGUUCUAUUCUUGUGGGUUUAACAUUUAAUAAACUGUCAGUGGCGGCUGGGAAGGCA
rnacentral:lncRNA from 1 species